GAGGAGGAGACACAUCCUCGAGAGGAGGAGAUACAUCCUCGAGAGGAGGAGUUACAUCCUCGAGGAGACCUUAGCUGUUUUUGUGUUGACAUGUAUUGUUUUGCUUUACUUAUUGUAUUCUCAAAUGUAUUUACAUCCAAAUCAAUACAAUGAGUAGCCAUAUUUUCUGCAAUUCUGUGCCAUUUGAUCUAUGAUUGAUUGUGUGUUCUGAUUACCUCCUUUUUGAUACGAUGACAAAAAGGGGGAGAA
rnacentral:lncRNA from 1 species